AAAAAAAAAAAAAAAACCAAAAUACACGAAAUGAAGUAAAAUAGAAGGGAAGGUGAGGGAAAAAAAAUACUACCCUACUGUGAAGGGGACAGAGAUAUAUAUAACCGAUCAAGUCAAAUAACUUGAGCCAUUAAAGACAAACAUUGGCAAUGACUUUUCCCGUCGCAAAAGAUUUCAGUCAUAUCCCUUGGACAUCAUGAUAAUGACGAUUGAGUUAAUUAAUAGAGCCAUCCAAGUAGUGCAUUUUGAAUUUCCAAUAAAAGCCUCAUCAGAACUGAGAAUUCUCAAACUCAGAGAAUCCAUGAGAAGUCAUGAGAUGCAAUGCACGACAUAAUUAUGUGAAGAUUCGAAGAUAAAAACACGACAGAUAUUACGCCAUGACACGAAUGUACUAUAAAAAGUACACAAUCUAGAAGACGAGAGUGAAUUCAAUUGUGAUAGAAAUGCUUAAAGUUUUUACUGUUAAGACUCAAAGCAAGAAAUUAAAGGAACUUUUUCAUAUAUCAAUGUUUUAAAUUUUAACAAUACACAUGUAGAUAGGUAAAAGGUUGUAUUCAUGAACUAAUUCAUCUCCAUAUCUCUGAGGCAAUAUUCUGUUUUAAGCCUUAUUAGACUAAUAUCCUGUUGUUAGCCCUUAUAUCCUAUUUUGAGCCCUUAUUUGACUAACCAUCCAGUUCGAACACCAUUUCAAAAAAAAAAAAUUCUCAACGCUAAUUGACUACUUGUCUAGAGAGUGUUUGGUAGGGAUUAAAAUUAGAUUUUUUAGUAAAUUGUGAUAUGAUAGAAGUUUUUGAAAUGCGUAGUUGAAAAGUUGUGGGACCCAUGAAAAAUGUGGUUAAUAUUGAUUGUUUGACUUUGACUUCGAUUAAAAUCAUAUUUUAAUCUAUACCAAACAUGUUCCUAGAAACCUAAAAACAAUAGAAAUCUCACAGACAAUAAGUGCUUGUGUGAAAGUGAAUUUUUGAAAAUCACUUUUCUCCAUGCUCAAUCACAACUAUCCAAAAGAAAUCAUUUUCACAUUUUUCCAUAACUUUUCCCUACUAUUUAACACUACAAUCUCCGAAAAAAUCACUCAUAAAAAAAUCACUUCCAUUCAAGCACGAAAUAAUACAAGACUAGCAUGACAAACAAUACCAUGAUAUUUGGGAAGACCACCAAAACUAACAAAUGAGAAAACACAACCCUUGUUUGAUAGUCAUUACUGAAAACUCCUUUUUCUACAUACUCAUUUCCAACCAAACAUUCACACAUUAAAAAAUCUACUUUUUAAGUUCUAAAAAUCACUAUUCAAAACAUUGUUUUUCCAAAUAAUGGCCAUCAAACAGGGCGUAAUUAUCAUUGACAAAAUCAACACAGAUAACUCUAGUAAAUUCUCAACAAAUAGAAUCAUGAAAUUUUGCUUUCCAAUCAUCAUUGAAACGGAUAUCUACAGCCACCAAAUUCACUCAACGUCCACAAGCAAGAACAACAUUCACACGAAUCCACAUUUAAACAUCGCCUCAUGGCAAAAGAUUCAGUACAUCCAUCAUUUUUAUUUCCUGGGCUAUGCUUUAGAAUCAAAACAUCUAAAGAAAUUUUAGGAAAAAACUCAGCUCCGCUUAAAUUAGGAAACCCUUAAAUUUUCCAAGUUUAUUCUUUUCAUAAAAAGAAGAAUAGUUUCUUUUUUGAUGAUCUGCUACAGUUUGGUUUCAUCACGCCUUACAAAUUUCCCAACAGAUUAUAUUAACUAUUAAGCUAUGAAACACCCAAAUAGUUUGUUGCUCCCAUUCUCGAUACAUAACCCAAUAGAAAACAAUUAUAUGUGCACGUGUUAAAAAAAACAAUUAAAAGAAAAUCAUUUCAUAGAAAAUUCAUCAAGCACGUGCAUCAUAUAUAUAUAUAAAAUCAAAAUCCCAACAAUAGUUUCUAAAAUUUUAAUCCAUCGCUAAUCAAACAAUAUCAGAAGGAAUCGAUAAACAAUUACUAAAUCAAAUAAAUAAAUUACAGACAACACAUCGUGUACAAGCCGAAAAUCAGUAAAACCCAGUACGGAAGAAAUAAUAAAAUAAAAUAGAAACAGCAAUCUAGAAAAUCAAAUUACAAAAAUAAAAAGAAAAAAGAAUUAAACCAUUUAUGAUUAAAGAAUUUUAAGAGGAACAGAGAAAUACCUUGAUAGGGCGAAACAGUCGAAUAAUAUAAAGCGUAAACUGUAAGCACACAGAGUUAGAGAGAGAAUAGACGAGAAUUUCAAUCUAAUCUAUUGCCACAAUCUUCAUUUUAAUUUAUAAAUGAAAUUCAACAGUUGUCGGUUUAUAAUUUUUCUUAAAAGCUUGCUGACCAUACAUAUUUUUCUUUGUCUUUUAUAAGGAAAGAAAAUAAUUUGAU
rnacentral:lncRNA from 1 species